rnacentral:rRNA from 1 species
UGGGGAAUAUUGGACAAUGGGGGGAACCCUGAUCCAGCCAUGCCGCGUGUGUGAAGAAGGCCUUUUUGGUUGUAAAGCACUUUAAGCGAAGAGGAGGAGCGCUAGACUAAUACUCUAGAUGCUUGGACGUUACUCGCAGAAUAAGCACCGGCAAACUCUGUGCCAGCAACCGCGGUAAUACAGAGGGUGCAAGCGUUAAUCGGAUUUACGUGGCGUAAAGCGUGAGUAGGGGGUCUUUUAAGUCGGAUGUGAAAUCCCUGGGCUUAGCUUAGGAAUUGCAUUCGAUACUGGGAGACUAGAGUAUGGGAGAGGAUGGUAGAAUUCCAGGUGUAGCGUUGAAAUGCGUCGAGAUCUGGAGGUAUACCGGUGGCGAAGGCAGCCAUCUUGCCUAAUACUGACACUGAUGUACGAAAGCAUGGGUAGCGAACG